UAGAUACCCUAUUAUAAAAAUUUAAAUUAAUUUACUAAAAAAUUAAUAGUUAAGUUCUUUAAAUUUAAAAAAUUUGGCGGUAUUUUAGUCUUAUUAGAGGAACCUGUUUUUUAAUUGAUAAUCCACGAUUAAUUUUACUUAUUUUAUAUAGUUCAUAUAUCGCUGUCAUGAAUAUAUUUAAAAAUUUAUUUUCUUUAUUUAUUAUUAUAAUUUAUGUUAAGUCAAGAUGUGGUUGAUAAAUAAGUUUAUAAUGGGUUACAUUAAAUUUUAUUUUUGGAUUUUAAAUGAAAAUUAUAAUGAAAUUGGAUUUAAUAGUAAGUUUAUUUA
rnacentral:rRNA from 1 species